CUACGGGUGGCUGCAGUGGGGAAUAUUGGACAAUGGGGGAAACCCUGAUCCAGCAAUGCCGCGUGUGUGAAGAAGGCCUGCGGGUUGUAAAGCACUUUCGGUUGGGAGGACUGCUUCUAGCACUAAUAUUGUUGGAAGUUGACGUUACCUUCAGAAGAAGCACCGGCUAGCUCCGUGGCCAGCAGCCGCGGUAAUACGGAGGGAGCAAGCGUUAAUCGGAAUUACUGGGCGUAAAGCGCGCGUAGGCGGCUAGAUCAGUCGGGUGUGAAAGCCCCGGGCUUAACCUGGGAACUGCAUCCGAUACUGUCUAGCUUGAGUACAGGAGAGGAGAGUGGAAUUCCACAUGUAGCGGUGAAAUGCGUAGAUAUGUGGAGGAACACCAAUGGCGAAGGCAGCUCUCUGGCCUGAUACUGACGCUGAGGUGCGAAAGCGUGGGGAGCAAACAGGAUUAGAUACCCGCGUAGUC
rnacentral:rRNA from 1 species